rnacentral:rRNA from 1 species
AGUCACUGACAUUAGAUACCCCCGUAGUCCAGGGUGUAAACGCUGCAGACUUGGUGUUGGAAGCCCUUUGGGGGCAUUCAGUGCCGGAGAGAAGUUGUUAAGUCUGCUACUUGGGAGUACGUCCGCAAGGAUGAAACUUAAAGGAAUUGGCGGGGGAGCACCGCAACGGGAGGAGCGUGCGGUUUAAUUGGAUUCAACACCGUAAACUCACCAGGGAAGACUGUUACAUGAAGGCCGAGAUGAAGACUCUGCUAGAUUUUCAG